CAUGGGGGGAGGUUUAAGUCUUAAUGACAAUGCUCUGGUCUCUUGGUGGCAAAGACUGGGUCCUACAGUCCCAGCCUGAUGAGGGAGAACAGGAGCUUCUGUUCUUUGUGGCAAACUUUCUGUUACUCCUUGUGCAGUCUUUUCUUUCCGUUAUAUGUGUUACUGUCCAGAAUCUCUCCGAGGAAAGCUGUUAGAAAUUUAAAGGUAGGACUGGAAUUUGGGUCUGUUCCCUACAAACCCUGCAAAGCCUGAAGGACCGGGCUGAUGACUGCUCUUAACAAAGGUGGUUUAUUAAUAUUCUGUCAGAUUUCCCUCAGCUCUGGGCAGGACAGGCAAGGGUUAGGGUCGGGAAUUGUGCAAGCAAGACCUGAUGAUUUCUCCUGUGCAUGUGUCAGUUUGGCUGGGCUGGGACAAGGAGGACUCGUGCAGGCACCUCCAGAGACAGCAGGAAUGGGAGUGUGUUGUGGAGAAGGAAAAUUCCAGGUGAAUUGCCACGAGAGGAAAUACCUCAGAGGGGCUUCCCUCCAAAUAAGCCCUGAAUAUGCCAGGAGGUUUCAGCUGGGAGAAUGGAGCUGUGGAAGAAAACCACCCUAAAAAUAGCCAGUGGGGAUCAUCAGGUUUUCCAGCCAAGAAAAACAAGGACGGAGAUGAGGGAAUCAGGUUCCAAUUAAUAAUGAUUUGGUGGGUGUAGGAAUGAUUUCUGUAUGUUUUCCAGUCCCUUUUGAUGAUUUUAAAAUCAUGGCUUUAGCAAUCAA